rnacentral:rRNA from 1 species
CCCUUAGAUGUUCUGGGCCGCACACGCGCUACACUGAAGGAGGCAGCGUGUACUCCUGGAUCGAAAGAUUUGGGUAACCCGCGAAUCUCCUUCGUGCUAGGGAUUGAGGUUUGCAAUUAUCCUUCAUGAACGAGGAAUUCCCAGUACGUGCAAGUCAUAAGCUUGCGCUGACUACGUCCCUGCCCUUUGUACACACCGCCCGUCGCUACUACCGAUUGAAUGAUUUAGUGAGGACUUCGGACUGGGACCGAUGCGGCUUUCGGGCUGCGUCGGUAUUCUGGAAAGAUGUCCAAACUGUAUCAUUUAGAGGAAGUAAAAGUCGUAACA